UACUUACCCGUAGAAAGUGGAGACACAGCCAAGUUCUUGCGGAUCGAUUCUGGGUCAGUUUUGUUCGAGAUUAUCUUCCAAGUCUUCAGACUCGUCAAAAGUGGGAACUUGAUGGUAAUCCUAUAGCUCAUUCUGCUAUUGUCAUGAUUGUGGAACCUCAGCUUCCUCGGGGACACUGGCCUAUAGGGACUGUCAGUAAGAUUUUGCCAAGUUCUGAUGGAAGAGUGAGAGUUGCUGAGAUUUUCAGCAAAGGGAAAUAUUUAAUUCGUCCAGUCAACCGUCUGAUUGUUCUUCCUGAAUUGACUGAUUCUGAUAAUUCAACCACAUGAACUUUCUGUAAAUGCAAAUAUGUUAACAUAUUUGGGGGCGGCUGUAGAAAAUCCUGCUGUGAUCUGAUUGGCUGACUGUGUCUUGAUAAAGAGCACCUGUGGCCCUUACUAAUUAUGUUUCAGUCUCCUUUUGUUUGAACCAAAAGCUGUUGUUCAGACAUGGCUUGUGUGGAAUCGUUGCGUUAUAAACCAACAAUUACCAUCAAUGCCAUCUGUGAAAUGUCUACUCCUAUAUGUCAGCACAAAUAAACUGGGAAAAGUACUUGAUGACUGAAUGAGUUUUAAUGGACCCACCAUUCCAGUAGCAACAGCCAAAUCAGCCUAAAU